GUGUAUUUGUGACCUUAAUCAUUUGAGGUUAUGUGUUGAUUUCACCUCUGAAUAUUUCCUCUUAUAGGUCCAUCAUCCUUGCACACACUCAAAAGCAUUGAUAAAUGCUGAAUUUAAAAGAAUCACUACUGUCUUAUGUUCCUGUGUGUCACCUGGACCUCCAAUCCAAAAACCUGACGAAACUCUUCUAUCAGAAAGGAGGACAGCUAGCAAAAAGACUUGGAACAAUCAAUGAUCAAAUGACAGAAGGCAUGGAUGAAGUCAGCAUCAGUGUGGUCAUUUGAAGACACCACUGUUGGGAUUUGUGCUCUCAAACAACAUGCUGCUUGUGAUGAGGAAGAGGAUCUUUGUAUAGUCCUGGAAGGCAUGAAGGUGUUGCAACAUCGUGCCAUGUUGUUUGAGCUGAUGUAUGCCUUAAACCUGAACUAUCCUGAUCUCUGCUUUAUUUUUGAGGAAAUCCAAAAGAUUUUAAUGGAACUGCAUUGAGCGUAACUUUAACGAACAGUUUCUUUCAGUGAAAGGAUCAGAAAGACUGUGCUGCUCAUUUAUGUUCUUUUUAUUUAUCUGUUUUAAGUGUUUUCUCUUAUUAAAACAUUAACAGUUUGCUGCUCAGAGUUGAUUUUGGAAAUGGUUGUUGUAUUUUGUUUUUGUUGAAUCUUUGAUUAUCAGUUUAUACAAAUGCUGUAGCUCUGACUUUCUGAAGGAUUGAUAUUUUCCAGUUUGUAAAUCCAUUUAAAAAAUAAUAGUACUUACUGUUUUGCAUGUCUCUUUGGAAUGCAGUGUUUGUGCUUUAGCACUUCUAAAUCUACUGUGAUAGUAACUAUUUUAAACAUUUGGGUCAGUUUCACAGAUGGGGCUUUUCCUAGUCCCAGACUUUUGCAAUGCCUUAAUUUGAAAACAUAUUGCACUGACAUAUCUUGACAUAUAUCAGUGCCAUUGUUUUGUCUCAAGAUGUACUCCAGUGUUGUUUUUGUAAGGUAGGUUUGUUUGUAAACUUUUUUUGUAAAAAAUAUCCUAAUAUAACUAGGGCCUAGUCAUGGCUUAAUCUACAACCUGUCUGGGAAAUUGCCCCUUUGUAUGUACUGCAUGUGCUGAUGUUGUAAUAGUAAGUGACUGUUAUUGAAUUAAUGUGUAGUGAUUUAAGUGAAUUGAUGAUCUGAAAGCAGUGGUUUGCCUCAAUAUCACUAAACAUUUGUUCAAAACUCUUUGGUUUUUAUGCCAAUGCAAAUGUAUUUUGUAUUUAAAAAAGAAAUAAAUAACAUUUGGAUAAUUAUGGGUGAUUAUUCUGGUGCCAGAGACAUAAUGAAAUUGCUUUAGAGUUACAUAAUCCCAUAAUAUAAGCAUUAAAAAAGCAUGUUGGAAUUACAGAUGAAAAUCUAGUCCCCUUACAUAAUAAAAUUACUUAAACAUUACAAAAUAAAUGUGUUAUAGUAAAGAGAAAUAGCACUUUGAGUCAACAUAUUUAUAUUAGACUACUUAAAACAAUUAAAAUGUUUUGGUCUGACACAUAAAAAUUAAAUGAGGAAAAUUAUGUUGGUUUUACACAAUCGGAUUAUGUGGGACCGAUGUACACAUUAA